rnacentral:rRNA from 1 species
GAUGAACGCUGGCGGCGUGCCUAAUACAUGCAAGUCGAGCGAACAGACGAGGAGCUUGCUCCUCUGACGUUAGCGGCGGACGGGUGAGUAACACGUGGAUAACCUACCUAUAAGACUGGGAUAACUUCGGGAAACCGGAGCUAAUACCGGAUAACAUGUUGAACCGCAUGGUUUAACAGUGAAAGGCGGUCUUGCUGUCACUUAUAGAUGGAUCCGCGCCGCAUUAGCUAGUUGGUAAGGUAACGGCUUACCAAGGCAACGAUGCGUAGCCGACCUGAGAGGGUGAUCGGCCACACUGGAACUGAGACACGGUCCAGACUCCUACGGGAGGCAGCAGUAGGGAAUCUUCCGCAAUGGGCGAAAGCCUGACGGAGCAACGCCGCGUGAGUGAAGAAGGUCUUCGGAUCGUAAAACUCUGUUAUUAGGGAAGAACAAAUGUGUAAGUAACUAUGCACGUCUUGACGGUACCUAAUCAGAAAGCCACGGCUAACUACGUG